GUUUUCGCUCCCAAACUCAAUAACUCGACCAACACAUUCAGUUGCAAUUCCCAUUCCCCAGUAUAGAGGGCCUAUCUCAAAGAAUAAAUUGGCAGUAUCAGAUUUGACGUUUUUUUUACUCAAUCCCACAUUUCCGAUAUAACAUAUGCUGGGAAAUGUUGAAGAAACUUCUAAAGGGUAGAUUCCAAAUACCCAUCUCUUUCGUCUGGUUUUUGUAAUGCGGGCAUCUGUAAUGUAAUGCUGAAACAUGAAACGACAUAAUUCACGGCUUUCUACCUUCCCGUAAAGUUGAGUAUUUGAUACAAGUGGGUCAGAUUUGAUUUUAGUAAUUUGAUCAAAAUCAUCUUCUUCAACAGGAGAUUUCAGCAAAAAUCUGCUUGUUUUCAGGAUGAUUUUACUCAUUAAUGAAUCCUUUAGGUUAAAAGAAAGAGAAAAACACUAGUCAAUCGUUUGAACUUGUAAUAGAACUUUUCUGGUUAU